rnacentral:tRNA from 1 species
GCAGCGAUAGCUCAGUGGUAAAAUUCUCACCUUCCAUGUGGGAGACCCAGGUUCGAUUCCUGGCCAAUGCA